CAUUGUAGAUGCAAUGCUCUAAGAUACGCCUCUUGAUGCCAUCCGUCGCUUUUUUGGGUAGACAAUUUCUUCACCCUCUUCCAUGCCCUGUCGCUGACGAAGAACCCCGCUUUCUCUGAGGUUUCCUAAUCAGAGAUGGAGAUUGAUUCCGUCGCAGCUGGAGGAGCUCUUAAACCAAAUGGAGAUCGAUUCCGUCGAGACGAGGAACCCCACUUUUUGAUAGGUGUAGGCGAUUACAGAUGCAAAGAGGCAAGGUUUAAUCCCCGGAGCCGUCCGCUUCACCUUCCCAUCACUUGCUCUGUCUCUCCAUCAAACCACCACUUUCUCUGUCUCUCCGUCAAACGAUGAACCAUCCUCCAGUAGUUUUAGUGUUUUUGAGCUUAAAUUUUGUCACUUUGAAUUGAAAAAGAUAAGAUAAUGAUUGAUUGUGAGAUUGUUAAACUUAAAGGACAAAGAUUUCUUAUGUCUGUAGUCUGACAAUAGAAUUUCAAGGACUUAGCUUCUAUCUUUUGAUUGGUUCUCUAAAGGAAAUCACUUUUUUUUUGUUUGGAUGAUAGACGUGAAGAAGAAGACGUUGGUGAGGAGGAAUGACGUGAGGAAUAUAGCAAUUGUAGCUCAUGUUGAUCAUGGCAAAACUACUUUGGUUGAUUCUAUGCUUAGGCAAGCUAAGGCAAGGAGCAAAUUUAGUGUUGGAGCUAGGGCCUUGCAAAGACUGUGAGAGGUAUCAGUACAAGAGUUUCGAGCUCAACAUCGUCGUCUCGCUGCGUGUUUAGCUGGCGUCUCUCUUCUUUGUGUUUCUCAUAACUUGAGAAAGCAUGAGAUUCAAAAUUUUCUCUUCAUUGAUCUGCUCAGUGGUCGUAUGGGACGGCUCAAGGCUCAGUAUAUUCAGCAAACUCGAACUCUGUGAGAUAAGCACAUACGUUUGCGUCAUUACCUCUCUAAGAUAAGCCACAGGUUCCGAAUCUUUCUGAUUCUACAGUUUCUGGUCGUCACUGUUAGCCAGUUUACCACGCUUUUCCAGACCACUGCGUAUAGCGGACGUAUCACGUAUAUAAACGGUGGUGAUUUCGCGGUCUCUGAGGUGGUCCAAGUUGUUGUGAUUAUUUUAUGUCUGCACGCAGCAACGAAGAUAUCUCAUAGAGCUCAAGCGAUAGCAUCAGUUGCAAGUAAAUGGCAUGCGAUAAUGUUGUGCUAAUCUACGGAUACAACUCAGAUAAGGACUUCUCCUAGUGGAGUUCACUUGGAAGCCACCACAAAUCCACCCAUCUCCUUUCAGAAUUAGCUCUGGUGGUAAAUUCUCACAGCUGUUAGUUCUGCCACCUGGGUUCGAAAUCCGGUCACUGGGGAAUUUACUUGCGGAUUUUUUAGCGUCCGAGACCGAAGACCGUUCACGGUGAACCACAUGGUGACGUCCUGGCAGCGUCCUUACUCGUUUCGGUCUCUAGUAUGGACCACUACGGUGGGACCAAGACACUCGGAUAUGAAAAAAAAAAGUUUGAGGUAAGAUAUCUUACGUGAUGUAGUUGUAACUUGUAAGUGUUUAUUUUGGCUGAUGCCAAUAUUAGAAAUUUACAAUACAUGAUGUAGGGGAAUGUGAUGAGUGGGGCCCACAUUUGAAAAUAAGAUACCAGAACAAGGUUCCUUUUUUUGUAAAUUGCUUCUCUUUCAACAAGUAAAUGAUGUACUUUGUAAGCAGAAAAAAAUAAUCUUCAUAAGGUGUAAAUUAGAUCUAUCUCACGGGUUUCUCUCAUAUAACUAUGGAUUUUAAGUGAUUUGAAUUUGUGUAGCACUGAGAUAUUGACGGUAAACUUUAUAUAUAUCUUCCUGUCACUGCA